GAAGCAGCGCUGGAGGAGGAAGAGGUAGCAAACACUGUUUAUAUAUAUAUAUAUAUAAACAGUGUUUGCUACCUCUUCCUCCUCCAGCGCUGCUUC